AGAGGAGACCUUCGUUUGUUCCUUACGAAAAUCGAACCAGAUAUCAAAUAUUUAGUCUCGCAGCAUCAACCUCAAGGAUCUCAUUAAUCACUAGUAAAGGUAAUUUCAAUUUACUUUGUUUUCUCAUUAAACUUUAUAAAGUUAAAAACAUUAUAAACAUGCAUAAAGUAGAAAUAAAAAGAUAAAUGUAUGUACAUUUAUUUUUUUUAAAACACCCUCCUUUCUAAAAAAAUAUUCUGCACUUGCGCAAAAACUGGUGGGCGGUAAGGACAUUUUUCUAUCAAGAAAGAUGCAUUAGUGGGCAGUAGGUAGAAAAAGGUUGACUACCACUGAUCUAGAUCAUCUAGUAUUGAUGAAAAUUUAGCAGUUUGAUUUUUCAGUUCACAAAAAUUUAGUGUUUUAAAGGAAACCCUCAACGGUGUAAAAAAAUCCAGUUAUUUUCUAUUUAGCUACAUGGAAGCACCUACCUAGAUUUAAUUUAAUUUAUUUUUUUUGUCAGUUUUUUUUUUCAGAUGUUAGCAGUUUACAGGAAAAAAGUAGUGGCAUCAUAUAUGAGAACAUCAGCGAAAAUUGUACACCUUGUAUGUUGUCCUAUCUAGAUUUUUUUAUUAGAAUAGAAUAAUCUAUAAAGAAAAUAUCUUGUGUUGUUUUCUACUCACUGACUAUAUUUGAAUUCCAGUUAUAUUUUGAUUGGGCAAAAACACUCAAUGACCAAUUAAAUUUACAUCUUUGAUUUUUAACGAGUCAUUUUUUUUCUCCAGCAUAACUACGUAGUAAAAAUGCAUAACUGUUGUUUCUAUACUUAUGUCACGUAAAACAAUUUAUUUUAAGACAUAACUGCACUUACAGUAUAAUCUAAACUUUCUAAAUUCUGGAAGAUAGGCUUGUCCUAUUACAUUAUUAGAAGGUAGACUUGAUACAUCAGAUUUGCAGAGAUAGACUUGACACAUCACAUUUCACAAAGUUAGAUUUGACACAUUACAUUUCUGGAGGACAAACUUAGCAUAGGACCGUAAAUGUGUCAGUUUAACUAUCUACAUAUUGAUUUUGCCAAGUGCUGGAAGUUCGAUACCAAGGGCUUUGCUAUAUCAAGAACAAAACAAAUGCAUACAGAUAUAUUAUAUAAUACUGAAAUGCCAUAUCGGUGAUGUUAAAGAUAUACUAGCCACGUUUGUUCAUUCUUAAACAAGGUGAUAUUGUCAGUAAAACAAAGCAUGUGACAUACACUCUACUACCAUGACUUGAGACAGUUCAUGUUUGCUAAAAACCAACAGGGUUAUUUGCUAAAUUACAAUUUUAUUUUAAAUUAAAUCCGAAUGGAAAAUAGAGGCAAAAAUAGUCAAGUUAUGACUAUGGAUAAGUACUGGAUUUUUUCUAAAUUAGCUAUGUUUGCCUUCUUUUUUUAGUAGGAAUAAAUUCACACACAAAAAUGAAUUGUUUAGUGAAUAACCCUAUUUAUCUUUUAUUGCAUCCGUCUAGCACAAUACAACAUGUUGGGUGCGCCAGCCAUCAUAGCUGAACACAUUUUAUAUGCAGAAGCCACUAAGUCAAGGACUAAAAGUUAGUUUUUAACAGCCAACUCAAAGUUUCUUUAGUACAAACAAGAAUUUCCUAUUCAUUAAAUAGUUUAAAACUGCUGUAAUAACUUUAAAAAAAAAAAUACCAAAAAAAUAGAAAUAUAUCCAAAACGCAAAGAUAAAUAUUUAUUUUGCAUACAACCGUUGACAGGAAAAUGACAAAUAUCAUUCAGCUACCGUAUUGGCAUGGAUGGCUUCAUUUGUUGAAAGAAAUUCAUGGUGGAGAUACAGUCUGAUAUUUGUUAUAUAUUCAGGAGAAUUUUUAACAUGAAUAGUUACCCUUUCAUGAACCUAGAGUUUGCUCUCACAGGCUUCAUUCAAUAUGUAUAUGACCGUUUGUACAUAUUGUUAAUGUAGCUGGAUAAUUGGUGCUGGAUUCUGGACCUUAAGUCUUGGUGCUGACAAUUAUGAUGGGACUAAUUUCAGACAAACUACAGACAGAAAACACUACCACAGCAAUCCAAUCCAAGUGUCCUUGUGAAGGUGGUGAGGGAGAGAAAUUUUCUUGGCCUUUUUUAUCAUCACAUCCUUAUGCCCUUGACAUCAUUGUGACUUUGGUGCAUUUGAUAUAAUCACGCCUCUUAGCGUGUUCUGGUUCCAGGUGCUUUAGAAUCCUGAUACUGAAUGAUUAGAAAAUUAGAAUUAUAUUUAUUAUUAUUAAACUUAAUUGUAUGACUUAUAAAUAAUGUACUAUGGUGAUCGUUUGAUAAAGGCUUUGGUUGAGGCCAAAACAUUGCAGUGUCUCUUCAAUAAUCAUGCCUGUUACAUUACAUCGAAUGCCUGGACUAUCCUGUUGUGUUCAUUUGUAUGUUGAGGAUUUGCCAAGCUCGGGUCCAGUUUUGAGCACUAGGGAUUGUUAAAAUAGUGCGGUUUCCUGACAUAUGCAUAGUCCCCUUUUGGCGUUUGCUUAAUUAACCCCAUACCCACAAAAAUACUCAGACACCUUGUAUUGGGAAAAUUAAUAUCACAGCUUUAAUAAUAUAAAAGAUAACAUAUAACAUUAUAAAGUCAUUGUCAACACAAUACAUAAUACACUAUUAACCUCUAUUAACCACACCGACAAUUACCCACAUAAACAAUUAUUGAUACCAACCCUAACAUAUAAAUAAAUGAACAUAAAACAUAAACCAUUACCACAGAGGGCAUGAUUUUCCAGCUUUCACAAUGUAGGGAUAUACCAAGAUACACCCUAUACACAAGGUUCGGAGCUACUGACGAGCUCGAACCUACUAAUACCAUUCCAAACUUAACUGUUCUUAGCAACUAAAACUAACAUACCUAUGACCAUCUGACCUACCCUCCAACUUUUCUAUCCAUCCCCCACCACAGCUCAGAGCUUGACUACUUAAGCUACCUGAGCGCCCCCCCCCAACAAGAACACAGCUUUCUGUAAACCAUCCUGAAAACCAAGCAACAUAAAGUCCAGACCCACAUCGGAAAGAUGAACACCGUCUGGCCAGUAAUAUCCCGGAAGCUUUGCUCUCAAGUCCUGGUGUCUGAUGACCACCCCCCCACUCAACGAAUAUAAUUCGCCAUGGUUUUGUUCACCUUACCCCUGCUUUUUUCUAAUGCCCUCACCUCCCUAGCAUGACGCCAAUGCAAACAGGGAAUCAUCUCAGACCACACUACCACCACCCCGGGGACCAUCUGCCUCAAAGUGUCCACAUCUGUCUUCAUCUGCUGAAUCAGUUCUGCAGGACCUGUCCCAAAUCAUUCCCCCCAGCGUGUACCAACACCACAUUUGGCACCUGACCUUCACCAACCGACAUCCAUAACUCACAACACCCUUCCCCCCGCCAGCUGGAACACCAAAAACCAAACCACAAGACUCGGACUACUGAACGGCUGCAUGCCGUGACGACGAACUGUGGCCCUACUUUUUGCCCAGUAGAUGAACGAGUGUCCAAUCACCCAAGCAUUUCAGCCUAUGGGAGUUAAUACAAGUAGACAAACAUGUAAAGAAAUAAAUUAACACAUGUACCCUCCAAACAUUCACCUGAGCCUAAACUAAACGGUCAGGUCUCACGUAAGUAUUAAAACGCACUGAUUCCCACCAACCGACUUUCUUAACCAAGUCCUCUAUCAAUCCCAGCCGGGUAGCCUCCGUCGAUUCAGAAAGAGUGCAUCCCAAACUGCGUCAGAGAAAAGCCCAUACGUGCCAAGGUGAACCGGAAGACCCGGAGGAACUGGAACCUCGACAAGGAGGACCCAUCAGCGUGAACCAAAAAUGAACCCCGAAUCCCUGCACGUAUUGCCCGAAAAGCAAAAGCAGAAGACACUGGACAAACGUUGACACCUGGCAACGAAAACAUCACUACCGAGCAACCCUUACCGAUGACGUCAGUCUUAGACCAACUCAAAUGCAACACCACCCGAUCUUCCCAUAAUUCGACCUCUGAAAGUUGCAAACCCCCUCCACCAAAAUGAUUACUCACCCGAAAUGCCCCGAAAAAGGCCCAGCUAAAGGCCAUGGAAAACAGCAGGACUUCAUACUCCGAAGAACAAACCUCCGGGAGGGUGCCAAACUGACCUUGGAGGACCUCAUACGAUACAGGCUGCCACGCGUACCGCGACGUCCGCCCCUUCCUGUGCCCUUUAAGUGUUUGCCGGACAAUAAAAAUGCUUAGUCAUGUCCUCCCAACCAUUCAGUUUGAAUUAGAAUGCUAGCGCUGUCAUGUUUCACCCCACAACCGAAGGAGAAGCGCCGAAGCAAGCAGCCUACACAGGAACCAUAAAAGCGUCUCAAACCAGGCCGCUCUAUGCAAACCACCGUCCUAUCCCAAUCCUGCCAAACCUUGAUGUAGGCCGCCCAUGCAGAUUGCGCCAGUGACCCUCUUAUGAGUCUGCCAAACAAGAUGUCCCGAGCUGUCACACCUCCGCUGGACAGGGAACCCCUUCUUCCUGCGCGCCCGGAUCUGCCGACUGAAACCUCGCAAACUGCAAAUGAGAGAGCGGGUCAGCAACAACAUUCAAGAACCCGGGCACGUGUCGCGCCCGGAAAACCACAUUGAAUUUCAUGCAAUACAAGACAAAACGGCGGAGUAGCCAAACCACUGGGAUGGAGGAAGCAGAUAAACUGUUAGCAGCUUCCACUACUGACAUGUUAUCAGAGAAAAAUAUCACCUUCCUGUUCUGCAACUGCCGCCCCCAUGACGCCAAAGCCACCACUAACGGGAAAAAUUCCAGAAACACAGAGUCACGAAUAAUCGGGCUGGCCUUCCACGCCUUCUGCCAUGGUUCCGCACACCAUUGCCCCGCAAAAUAAGCUGCAAACCCCACACUCCCUGACGCAUGCGUAAACAAUUCCAAAUCCGGCGAAGCCACCGCCGUCUCCCGAAAAAAACACUCGGCCAUUGAAAUCUCGCAGUAAAAACAACCACACCUCCAAAUCGGCUUUCAUGGAAGCCGAUACCCAUACAAAAUGAUUACGGAACGAAACGCUACUCGUAGCCCUAGCCAGGAACCUAUUAAACACCCGACCCACCGGAAUCACCCGGCAAGCAAAAUUCAGAGGACCAAUCAAGGACUGCAGAGCCCGCAAUGUAACUUUCCUAGCUCCACGUACCUCAGCUACCGCCUGCCGAAGAGCAAUCAGCUUCUCCUCCGGCAAGCGACACACCCCCUGCACUGAAUCAAUCUCCAAGCCCAGAAAGGAUAAACAGGUUGUGGGACCCACAGUCAGAUCAUGGGACCCACCAGCGGCACGCCGAAAACUUGUGCGACCCAACUCCAGUGAGUUUUGUGCCCGCCUCCACCUGGACCACCCACUCCCAAAAGGAACUGAAUUUUUAGAAGUAGGCACACGAGAUGAAACGACCCAUAGGCAGGAUGUCAUCGGCCCCGCGUCAUGACAUCCUGGGUACCUUGACGGACUUUGACCUCCCUGACCUCCCAAUCGUCUGACCAUGCAUUCCCUCGUCCUGACCCCACUGGCCAAGUCCACCUGACAAGAGCCCUCUACUCGUCGGCCCCGUGUCAUGACCACAGGUGAAGCCCUACCGUCUCCUUGCCUAUCACCAUGCAGAACACUCCUGGAUCCCUCCCUAUUUGUACCCCCCUGGGACCUAACAUCUGAGCUUUGGUUGUGGUGACGCCCGUCCACCUGCAGGGAAACCCUAUCAGUUUACCACCGUCAGCCCGUCCAAGUGGUGACCCCCUAGCGUACCUCUCCCCCUGUGUGCAACCCCUGCACUGUGGUGUCACCCUCCCUGCCAGCCUGGGAGGGAACCGUGAGGAGCUUCUCCUAGCCCCCACCCGUCCGGGGAAACUGACCCUUGCCUAAGUCCCCACUAAGCCCUUCCCUUGCCUUGUGCCUGGGGUACCCCCUACGUGAAGCCCUAGUGCCAGUAAGCAGGUGACCCACCGUGUUGGUGGCCGACUCACCCGUAGUUGAAACUGCACCAUCCAUCAUCAAUCCGGUCACUGCAGCCCUCCUGGUGGCAUUCCGGCCAACCGCAGAGUCCACUGCCAAGGAACCCACCUUCCGCUUGGCAGCCGCCUUGCCCACCAUGGGAACCAAACCAGAGUCACCAGCCAUAGUCCUGGGUUUGCGGGCCGAACUGUCUGAAGUGCCCACAGCCCGUUCGGGAGAAAUCCGGCGUUGCUGUUCACGGCCCCAAAAUCCGGCAGCUCCCAGUUCGUGGCCCGAACAUUCGUCUGGAUUCUGUUCAUGACCCAAACGUUCGGCAGUUGUACGUUCACAGCCCCAACGUUCGGCAGAUUCAUGUUCGCGGCGAGAACGUUCGACAGUUUCUACCUGUUCAGCUGCUCCGCCGGUUACCUGUUCACCACCCGAAUGACCAUCCAUGCCUGACUGCACCGAUUCGCAGCCCGAAUGUCCUCGCACCAUCAUGCUCGUGGGAACACGUCCUGGCCGUGCAGCCACACACCAAUGCCGUCCUUGUGGUACAGCCUUCUUGGGACUCCGUCCAGCUGCAGCUUCAGCCCUACCAGGCUCCAAAGUCGGGCUCCUGCCCCUCCGACCCCCGGCCUGCUCACUGGGGCUCAAACGCUGCGGUGGCCUGGUCCGCCUAGCGGGCCGACUUCCUUGGGACACAGGAAAAGGCCUGGCUAGGCGCAAAGCAUCUCCCAGACGUCCUUGAAGUCAUACCACUCCCUUCUCCAGCACAGCGAUUGUACCUGGAAGACAAAAACAGAGACACCACACCGACCUGCCACAACAACAGGUAAAAUGGCUCCCUAUAUACUCCCCUUACCCAAAAGCCCACCCCCAAUAUCUACAUAUACUAUGCCUGUCUCUGAGCAAUGUCAAGGCCCAUUCCCCUUAGAUACACUGCUCCAUGGGCUACACUACAAUUGUUUUAAUUAAUAUACAGUGUCACAUAAAAGCAGGAGGUUGUUGAGUUGUUAGAGAGACGGACAUAGCAAGAGAUUUUAUAAAUGAACAAAGUCAGAUUUAACUUAAUUAUUUUAUAGCUAAUCUGUCCACAUUUUUCUAAUACUAUAUUCAGUACUAUUGCCAUUUUAUGUUGUCAUCCAUGACCAAGUUUGGUGCAUAGCACUCAUAUGGGCAAUGUCUAUUUAAUUCAACCCUUUGUCAACUGUGCUAGCAUCCUAGCCAGUUGCACCUUUAUGGAAAAUAAUGUUUAUGUAAUGGGGCUCUUAUACAAUUUAUUGGCAAACUUCCAUUUAUGUCUUCAGUUCCAUUCUUUAAAGGGUCAUCUUUUAUUACGAGCGCAGGACCUUUUCCAUUGGGACAUCUAACAGCAAUUUCACAACUCCAUCAGGUGACUUUUACUGAUCAAAGCAAUCUACAUGUUUUCAAAUUCCAACAGUGUAUGUUAUGCUUGACAAAAAAUAUUUUACUUUGAGAAGACCCAGGCACAAUGAAAGAAUGGGGAAGGAAUGACAUGAUGAGACGUAAAAAGUUCACAACAUUCUAUGUACUUUCCAAAAAGGCUGGGCCACUGUCACAUGUGUUGUCCUCUCAGCUAACAAAGUAUCCUUAUCAUCAACAUACCCUUCUAUUUUUUUUAAAUUCCAUUAAUAUGACAUUUAAACAUAAUGAUAUAGACAAAAUUGUGACUUUAGGCAAACAUCAGGGAGGAACCAAAAAAAUUAACACAAUAAUACUCUUAAAAUUGGUAACAUUAACAUAAGUGUCGAUCCCAGAAAGCCAUUAAUAAAACAUGUUCAAAGAAAAGGAAACACCAAUCAUUCUCAAGACACAAUCUCAUACAUACCGUUGCAGGAGACAUAUAUUAUGAGUAUUAACCAAGUAGACUUGACUUGAACGAAUAAAUAAAACCCACAGGGUCUCACAUGGCAUGCCAAAAGUGUAACUUCCCCAAAGAUUUAUAUUUUAAUUUAAGGCUUGUAAAAAAAAAGAAACAGAAAAUGUCAGCCAAUAAUCGAAGUAAGCAUUGACUUAUUUUAGAGGAAAACAUUGUAGAUAAGUAUUUGGUCUUUCCCUGCUCUCACUCACUCUCCAUUCUUUAAAAGGGAAUAUUGAUUAACCUGUUAACAUUCUUCCUUCACCCCCGCUGCUCCCCACCAGUGGAGGCUCAUCCAUAGCUGCACUUGAAGCAGCAGCCCACUACUUUUAUGUGUGUGUGUGGGGGGGGAAUAUAUUCAGUAGUUUAAAAACACUAACAUUCUUUUUCUGGAGGGGAGGGUAGUAAGCCAAAAAUAUAUGGAAAAAAUAGUAUCUCUUAAAUUCUGCAAUAUGUUUCAGUAAUGCAUUCCCCCUCAUUUGUAGCUGUUUGGAGUUGUUUUCUUGAGAGUAUCUAGGCAUAUGAAAAAAAUGGGUCUGGUUUGAAAUUUAGUUUGAAAAAUUGGUCUGGUUUGGUUUGAAAUCAGCAGGUUUUGCACAUACCUAGUCUCCUUUAAGAAUGAAUCUAGGGGAUUUCUAUUGAGUUGCCAUUUGGACAAAUGAGCCAGCUGCCCAUGAGUGGAGGCAUGCUAUUGGACUCUCUAUUCAGGGUCCAUUAUUGGCUGAUAGCACCAAGGGGUGAGGAUUUUACUGUCCACAUGAGAGAGAAGCAAGAAGCCAUCUAGGAUGCAGCACAUCAGCAGCAGUUGCUGGUCCCUGCAAAAUGUGUUUAAUUUUUAUCUUUUUCUUUCUAGUGACUGUCUGAGGGCUGAUUAAGCAAGGUAAUUUACUCAAAUAUAGUAUUAAAUAUAUAAUAUACAUCUAAAGUGCUACAGAAUCUGUUGGCGCUAUAUAAAUGGCGAUAAUAAUAAUAAUAUAAAGCCAGACAAACCCUGGGGUGACAAAUUCAGAGGGGAAUUUCUGACAGAGAGCACUGUGCUGCCUGUCACUAGUAGCUUUAAUAACUCCUACUGAAUCUUCAGUAAAGUGCUUAGUCAAUCUACAGCUGAGACACUGUGGUUAGUUGAAAAGUUGUAUAGCAUCAAACUGCAGGACUGGGGCUGUGACUCUGAGGACUCAUCUGAUUUAAAUCUGUUUUAAUCUGAUGAUUGCUGCUUCUGUUAACCAUUUAAGAUACUUUUGGGCUCCAUAUUACCAUUGCAGAUUAAUUAUAUUGCAAGUGUCAAUGGUAAAAGUGGAUAAGUACAAUGCUGCUUUAACCCCGUGUACACUGUGUGCUGCAAGCUAAUAGUAAGUCAGGACAUCAAAAAUAAAUCUUACAUUCACCUCUUGCCACCUUUUGCCAUUUUACCCUACUCUGUUUACAGUAUAAGUUACUUUAAACUGUGCUGUUUGUUUGUUAGUUUGCCUAUUGUAUAAUGUUGAAAAAUAUGAUUGCAAAGUUAUAGUAAUAAUAAUAAUAAUAAAAAAAUUGGCUGUUUUAUCACAUAUUACUGACUGUAGAAUUUGAGUCUAUUUGUGAAGUAUACAAACACAUCAACACAUACUCCACAUUGUAUGGCAUGACACUCCUCCUAAGAGUACCUGGGGCAAUUUUGGAGGUGUGCAGGUGCGAGGAUUCACUUUCAGCGUUGAGCAUUAUUCAUAUGAAACAUCCAUCGCCCUGACAUAGAUUAUAUUUAGAAAAUAUUUGAGAAUUGCCUUUUUAAAGUCAUCGUUUAAUAAAACUAUUCUGUUCAAAGAGUAAACAAAUCAUAAACAAAAAGGUAAUUCCAAAACUUCACAGAUGUAUCUAAACAGGUGAUUGUUAAAUACAUUGACUAGUGGGACUAUGUCAUUCCACAGGGUGUAGCCUUACAGAAAGAAACCCAUCUCUUUAGGAAAGCUUAUGGCCUACCAGAGUAACCUCUACCAUACAUACCUGUCUCUUGCUCUCCCCUAUAGGGCAGUGCUUUACUCUCUCCUCCAGCUCUGCUUCACUCCCACCCUAUUUGAUAUUUUCUGUCAUAAUGUGUCUUAUACCCCACCUCCUAUGGACUGUAAGCUUCUUUGAGCAGGGUCCUCUUCAACCUAUUGUUCCUGUAAGUUUUCUUAUAAUUGUCCUAUUUAUAGUUACAUCCCCCUCUCAUAAUAUUGUAAAGCGCUACGGAAUAUGUUGGCGCUAUAUAAAUUGCAAUAAUAAUAAUAAUAAUAAUGAGCUUACAAUCUAAUGUUUAAAAUUGGGAGUUAUGACAAAAGGCAGCAGGUAGUAUAUGGAGGUGAUGGCCAGAGAGAAAGUUAUAUUGAAGCCACUGAUAACAUGUUAAGGGAAUGAGGAGGUUUUUGAGUGAGAUCUCAAGCAGCUGGAGAAGCAUGUUAGACAGUUAAAAAGAACCAAGGCAGGAAGAGGGGAUGGUGGGGUGGCAGUGGUAAGUGAAAAUAAAGUUUCUCUUUUUUAAAUGAAUACAUUUUUUUAUAGAGUCUUCUGAAAGAGCAUUCUAUAAACAACGGUGGUGGAAGGAUAGGUGAGAAGAGGGAUAUUGGUAGCAAUAUUUUAGAGAUGGUUGCUGAGGAAAAGCUAGGUCUGGAUCUAGAGACAGAAGGAAUCCACAGGAGGUCCAAAAUCCACAAACAUGCUUUCUGAACAGAAUUAAGGAGCAGUAGUUAGAGGAGUGGGGUGGGAUGUAUAGUAUUUGGUGUGAGAACACUCUGACAACCAAGUCUCAAGAGAAGUCUCCCCAUAGUUACAGUUCCAUGUUACCAAGCACAAUUCUGUCCAACUUGGAUGUCAAUCAUAAGCUAAGAGCAAUUGGAGCAGGUUAAUAGGUUAGUGCCCUCAGGAUAGUCUCUCAGGUUGACAAAUAACCUGAGGACAACUUUGAUAGACAUAUAGUACCAUGAACUAUAUACUGAUUUGUUGUGGUUUAGGCGCUUCAACGCCCCGUAGUUUAUUUUUUGUAUAUUAUUUUUAAGUGUAUUAUUUUUUUAAUUCAGUAUAUUAUUUUUCCUAGUUAUUAAAGUUUGACCUUCAUUUGAGUGCAGGAGCUACUGAAUCAAUCUAGAUAUCAAUUCUCUCUCUCUCUCUCUCUCUGUUUGUUUUUUUCGCUGUCUUGGUUGAAUGAGCUGAUCAUAAAUGUGUGCACCAGAAGAGGUAAAUAGGGGACUAUAUUUUCAGUACUACAAAUGUGAUUUCAAGAGCAAACUAGAAAUUUGGGUGUCAUUUAUAUUAACAAUAUAGUCAUGUGAUCUGAAAUGGUCAAAAGGUCAUAUUUUGCUUGCUGCUAAAAUGUUGUUCUUCUGUUUUUCCCAAUAUUGACACAAAAUUCAAAGAAGAUCAAAUAAUAGAUGCUAAAACAAUGUGUGUGUUUUCACAGAAAUAUGUAUUCUCAAUUGUAUGUUUGGAGGAGAAUAUUUUCUGCCAUUACUAGUUCUGUCUACUGCGUACAGGGUGCAUAGUGUGACAAUAACUUGAGGCAAUCAACACAGAGAGUCCUAAGGGAAUUCCAGAAAGGAAGAAAAACAGGAUAGUCCGUGCUUUUGGCCCUCAAAGUAGCUGGACUUAAAGGGAAACUUACAUAGAGGGAAAAUGACAGUAACUGCAGGCUGUAGAAUGGUCAAACCAAGGUCACAACAUGGAGGGACCAGGAAUGUAAGAUGUCAAGGUGCAGAAAUCAGAUGAUAUUGUGGAGAGGUCAGAAUAAUUGUGAAAACAAGCUAAAGUCAAUACCAGAGAAGACAAGAGAAAUAAUUAAAACACUAUUGGGCCCAUAGGAAACCACAAGAAGACACCUGACUGAGUGGAAGGGAGGUUUAUAUAGCAUAAGGUAAGUUACUAGUCACUAGUAAGUAAGUAGUCUAGCUUACAGAAGAGGUAAAUAGCUUUAAAGUAGCCUAUUUAACUCUGAUUUUGAAUGGUGUUGAGGAACAUACUCUAUUCAUUGGUAAACCUAAAAUCUGAAUAUGUUGCACACAAUAGCAUUAUAAAAAGUCCUACAUUCAAGCUGUGUACUGUCACCCCAUGGUCUCUAUGAGAAACUUGAGUGGCACUAGUUCCUGUAGGUGCCUCAGUCUGGUGCCCGCCAGGGGAUGUAUUCUGGAUCUGACUCAGCUCUGCUAUCUAAUUUCUGCUAUAUAUCUACUUCUCUGUAGACACCUCACUAGCAGUCUCUCUUUUCUGCAUAUAUUGUUAGAUCUUAUGUGGCAUUCUCUAUAUCCUCACAUUGUAUAAGGUUGUUUUUAUGUUAGUCUCUUAUAUCUACUGUACAUAUUUAUGUUUCUUCCUAUUCUGAUAACUAUACCAGCUGUGCUAGAUUCCUUCCCAUUGCUUUCUGCUCCUUUUUUUUUAUCUAGAUGCUCGCUGGAGACAUUAUAAUGACUUUAAUUGCUUUUGCUCGUUUAGAUAUAGUAUCCAGCUUCAUUUCAGAUUGUCAGAUUUACCUUUUACAUUAGAACGAUCUUUUUGUUUACUUGUAUCCUAGCAACCGAACGUGAUGACGUCAGACACUAUGGACUGAAUGACUGACAUCAGCACGCACGUUUAUGACGAACCAGGAAGUGGAUGGAGCACUCAGUAUGGUGGAUGGUCACUGGAACUAGUCCUACAGCUUAUGUGGAUCUUGUUUAAUAUGUGGGUGGCGGCACUGCAAUUAUUGUGAGCACUAUUGUAUAUAUGUGUAUUUGUAUCCAUGCUUUACAAAGGACAUUAGCAUUGAUAAAGGGCAUUCUCCCAAAACGUUUGCAACCUGUACUUUGUCCUUCCAAUAAAUAUGGUAGCACCUGGG